UAGGGAAUAUUGGGCAAUGGAGGGAACUCUGACCCAGCCAUGCCGCGUGCAGGAUGAAGGCGUUAUGCGUUGUAAACUGCUUUUAUAUAGGAAGAAAUAGUCCUUGCGAGGAAAGUUGACGGUACUAUAUGAAUAAGCACCGGCUAACUCCGUGCCAGCAGCCGCGGUAAUACGGAGGGUGCAAGCGUUGUCCGGAUUUAUUGGGUUUAAAGGGUGCGUAGGCGGUUUAUUAAGUCAGUGGUGAAAGACGGUCGCUCAACGAUUGCAGUGCCAUUGAUACUGGUAGACUUGAGUAUGAUUGAGGUAGCUGGAAUGGAUAGUGUAGCGGUGAAAUGCAUAGAUAUUAUCCAGAACACCAAUUGCGUAGGCAAGUUACUAAGUCAUAACUGACGCUGAGGCACGAAAGUG
rnacentral:rRNA from 1 species